GGCAUGUUAAUUCAAUGGUAGAAUAUUGUAGUACGGCCACAAGAAUAUAAGUUCAAAUCUUAUACAUGUCU
rnacentral:tRNA from 1 species